rnacentral:rRNA from 1 species
GACGAACGCUGGCGGCGUGCUUAACACAUGCAAGUCGAACGGAAAGGCCCUGCUUUUGUGGGGUGCUCGAGUGGCGAACGGGUGAGUAACACGUGAGUAACCUGCCCUUGACUUUGGGAUAACUUCAGGAAACUGGGGCUAAUACCGGAUAGGAGCUCCUGCUGCAUGGUGGGGGUUGGAAAGUUUCGGCGGUUGGGGAUGGACUCGCGGCUUAUCAGCUUGUUGGUGGGGAAGUGGCUUACCAAGGCUUUGACGGGUAGCCGGCCUGAGAGGGUGACCGGCCACAUUGGGACUGAGAUACGGCCCAGACUCCUACGGGAGGCAGCAGUGGGGAAUAUUGCACAAUGGGCGGAAACCUGAUGCAGCAACGCCGCGUGCGGGAUGACGGCCUUCGGGUUGUAAACCGCUUUCGCCUGUGACGAAGCGUGAGUGACGGUAAUGGGUAAAGAAGCACCGGCUAACUACGUG